UACGGGGGGGGUAAGCGUUGUUCGGAAUUACUGGGCGUAAAGGGCUCGUAGGCGGCCAACUAAGUCAGACGUGAAUUCCCUCAGCUUAACUGGGGAACUGCGUCUGAUACUGGAUGGCUUGGAUUCGGGAGAGGAAUGCGGAAUUCCAGGUGUAGCGGUGAAAUGCGUAGAUAUCUGGAGGAACACCGGUGGCGAAGGCGGCAUUCUGGACCGACAUUGACGCUGAGGAGCGAAAGCCAGGGGAGCAAACGGG
rnacentral:rRNA from 1 species